UACAGAGGUCCCAAGCGUUGUUCGGAUUCAUUGGGCGUAAAGGGUGCGUAGGCGGCCAACUAAGUCAGACGUGAAAUCCCUCGGCUCAACUUGGGAACUGCAUCCGAUACUGGAUGGCUUGAAUUCGGGAGAGGGAUGCAGAAUUCCAGGUGUAGCGGUGAAAUGCGUAGAUAUCUGGAGGAAUACCGGUGGCGAAGGCGGCAUCCUGGACCGACAUUGACGCUGAGGAGCGAAAGCUAGGGGAGCAA
rnacentral:rRNA from 1 species